rnacentral:other from 1 species
AAAUUUCUGCCUUGUUCGAUAUAAUAUAGUUUUUUAUAAUCCAACACAUAUUCUAAGGGAAUUCAGCUCCGGCUGUGGAUUGCAGACCUCCCGCCAUGCGGAAGAAGGGAGCGUGAAGCAAUCGGGCGUUUACCCACCUGCUUCGUGCGGGUUUUAUUCGCUAUAUAAACGGCAAGGCGGAUUUUUU